rnacentral:rRNA from 1 species
UGGCUCAGAGUAGAACGCUGGCGGCAGGCCUAACACAUGCAAGUCGAGCGGCAGCGCGUCCGACCACCCUCGGGUGGUCGGAUGGCGGCGAGCGGCGGACGGGUGAGGAAUGCAUCGGAAUCUGCCUCGUUGGUGGGGGAUAACGUAGGGAAACUUACGCUAAUACCGCAUACGACCGUACGGGUGAAAGUGGGGGACCUUCGGGCCUCACGCGAUGAGAUGAGCCGAUGCCGGAUUAGCUAGUUGGCGGGGUAAAGGCCCACCAAGGCGACGAUCCGUAGCUGGUCUGAGAGGAUGAUCAGCCACACUGGAACUGAGACACGGUCCAGACUCCUACGGGAGGCAGCAGUGGGAAUAUUGGACAAUGGGGGCAACCCUGAUCCAGCCAUGCCGCGUGUGUGAAGAAGGCCUUCGGGUUGUAAAGCACUUUUGUUGGGGAAGAAACCGGCCGGGUUAAUACCCUGGUUGAAUGACGGUACCCAAAGAAUAAGCACCGGCUAACUUCGUG